UACGUAGGGUGCGAGCGUUAAUCGGAAUUACUGGGCGUAAAGCGUGCGCAGGCGGUUCGUUAUGUCCGAUGUGAAAGCCCCGAGCUCAACUUGGGAAUGGCAUUGGAAACUGGCGGGCUGGAGUGUGGCAGAGGGGGGUGGAAUUCCACGUGUAGCAGUGAAAUGCGUAGAGAUCGGGAGGAACAUCAGUUGCGAAGGCGGCUCUCUGGACCAGUACUGGACGCUGAGGCACGAAAGCGUGGGGGAG
rnacentral:rRNA from 1 species